GGGGAUGUGGCUCAGUAGUAGAGCAUUUGCCUAGCAUGCAGGAGGCCUGGGCUGGAUCUCCAGCAUCACAA
rfam:Ictidomys tridecemlineatus contig060092, whole genome shotgun sequence.